UACGUAGGGUGCAAGCGUUAAUCGGAAUUACUGGGCGUAAAGAGCGCGCAGGCGGUCGUUCAAGUCGCGUGUGAAAGCCCCCGGCUCAACUGGGGAGGGUCACGCGAUACUGAUCGACUCGAAGGCAGGAGAGGGAAGCGGAAUUCCCGGUGUAGUGGUGAAAUGCGUAGAUAUCGGGGAGGAACACCAGUGGCGAAGGCGGCUUCCUGGCCUGUUCUUGACGCUGAGG
rnacentral:rRNA from 1 species